rnacentral:rRNA from 1 species
UGGGGAAUCUUCCGCAAUGGACGAAAGUCUGACGGAGCAACGCCGCGUGAGUGACGACGGCCUUCGGGUUGUAAAGCUCUGUUAAUCGGGACGAAAGGUCCUCUUGCGAAUAGUUAGAGGAAUUGACGGUACCGGAAUAGAAAGCCACGGCUAACUACGUGCCAGCAGCCGCGGUAAUACGUAGGUGGCAAGCGUUGUCCGGAAUUAUUGGGCGUAAAGCGCGCGCAGGCGGAUCAGUCAGUCUGUCUUAAAAGUUCGGGGCUUAACCCCGUGAUGGGAUGGAAACUGCUGAUCUAGAGUAUCGGAGAGGAAAGUGGAAUUCCUAGUGUAGCGGUGAAAUGCGUAGAUAUUAGGAAGAACACCAGUGGCGAAGGCGACUUUCUGGACGAAAACUGACGCUGAGGCGCGAAAGCCAGGGGAGCGAACGGGAUUAGAUACCCCGGUAGUCCUGGCCGUAAACGAUGGGUACUAGGUGUAGGAGGUAUCGACCCCUUCUGUGCCGGAGUUAACGCAAUAAGUACCCCGCCUGGGGAGUACGACCGCAAGGUUG